CCUCGACCGAGAUGAUCAGAGAGGUGCAGGGCGCCGCGCGCUUCGGGCCGGUGUGGCUAGCCAGCUUUGGGACAGUGCGCACCGUGUACGUGGCUGCCCCUGCACUCUUCGAGGAGCUGCUGCGACAGGAGGGACCCCGGCCCGAGCGCUGCAGCUUCUCGCCCUGGACGGAGCACCGCCGCUGCCGCCAGCGGGCUUGCGGACUGCUCACUGCGGAAGGCGAAGAAUGGCAAAGGCUCCGCAG
rnacentral:sRNA from 1 species